AAAAUUGCUUACUUUGUCAUUUUCACCAUAUAGUUAUAAAGUGACUCAAAUGGAAUACAAAUACUGUGCUUACAUUUCAGUCUGGUUUUCACUUGUGAUCC